AAGGGAGCACAGAGAGCCCCAGCCAAGAGUGAUGCCUGGAUGCCGGUUCUGGAGAGUUCCAUGGGCGGGGUCUCACUAUGCCUGAAGUCCAUCUUUGGGUGUAGCCAGCUCCUAGAGCCAGUGGCUGUCCUCUGCUUUCAGUUCGUUUUCAGUUGGUUGUGGCUGAGGAAAGACGGGCUGGUGGUGAUAGCCGUCUCUGAGUUCUCGCGGGGCAGCCGAGAGGCUGAGCUCACCGCACCCACCUGCGUUCUGUAUCCACUGUACAGUGGGCUCUGCUGUGUCCACUGCUGUCCUCCACCUCUCGAUGGGCCUCUUUUGUGUCCACUGCUG